GGACUACCCGGGUAUCUAAUCCCGUUCGCUACCCACGCUUUCGUGUUUGAGUGUCAGGAACGCGCCAGUGCACUGCCUUCGCUUUCGGUAUUCCCCAAGAUAUCAACGGAUUUCACCCCUACACCUUGAGUUCUAUGCACCUCUCACGCCCUCGAGUCAUACCGUUUCGCCCGCAUCUCCCGGGUUAGGCCCGGGGUUUUAACGAACGACUAAUAUGACCACCUACACACGCUUUACGCCCAGUGAUUCCGGGUAACGCUCGGGGCCUCUGUAUUACCGCGGCGGCUGGCAC
rnacentral:rRNA from 1 species